CCGUGUCCUGAAGAAGUCAGGGUGUCCUAUGAGAGGUGCUGGCACUGCUGUAGUCUGUGAGGCUACCUGCAGAGAAUCCAUGUCUUCCCAAAAAUCUAAUCUCCAGCUGCCUACAACUUCCUUAAAUUCCCAGGUGAACGCUGUUUUACUCCUCACCGCCCUCACGCUGCAGAAUCACCCAACAGCCCAACAUCGUUACUUUGCCUAGUGGUGACCAUGAAAGGACAGCGCUGAAGGGACCCUUGACCCGGAGGAAAUAGACUACAGCACCCAUUGGCCGACUUCAGCUGCUGAGAAACUCAGAGUCAAACCUGAAUCCUACCACUGCAAAGAGCACAAGACCCUGAGGCAAGCGCUGUAUAUACCCAAGUCAUCCCUGGUGCCACCUUCAUUUACUGCACCAGGUUUUCUUCAUUGUGAUGAUGUUCCCUCUCUCUCUCUCUCUCUCUCUCUUUUUUUUAAUCCUGUUUUACUCUGCACAUUUCUACAAGCCACAAAACUACUUCUUGAAGGAUGAAUAACAUAUAAACAAGUGAACAAACAGGUAAUUGAUAGAAAUAACUUGUUUUAAAAUACUUUUACCUCCUUUUUGGAGUUGGGAAAGGCGUAAUCUUGCCUUAUCUGUCUUUAAAUGGCUGUGUUUGCAAACCAUCAUCUACUAGGUUGAGUGAAGAACGUGUUUUUAAGGGACCAUUGGUAUUUUUAAUUUCUGAUGAAGGUGACAAUUGGCCUUCUUCCAAGUGAUGUGCCAUGAAGAACUUCUACUGAGUUCUACAACAGCAUUCUGGGAGUGUUUCCCAAGACAAAGCUGACUUCUAGGUAGCUAUGGGGAGUGCCCACAAGCCUGGGCUGCAGUGAAAGUCAGCAGGAUGGACUGGAAGAGCCAGAAGUCUGUGUGGGAAGUGUCAGCCCCUUCCUGCUGCUUCCUUCCCUUGGUUGGGGUAAAUGCUCCACUUCUUCCUCUGGGCCUCAGUUUUUUCAUCAGAAAAAUUAGAAGAGAUGCUUACUGGUUAGGCCUGCUUAGGAAGAGAGAAAGACAAGUAUAGAACUUGCCCUGGAAGAGCAACCCAAGCCCAGCUGACCCACAUGGAAGGGCAACUCUCCCUACUUCCAAAUCUUUCCCUUUCUUCCUUUCUUUCUUGCUUGC